ACGCGUUGAUUUACAACAACUCCAACAUUUCGAAUCAAAGGUGGGGGUAGCUUAGCAAUGGUAGCAUGAUGGGCCGCAGGAAAUGGCGGGAAAGAUAACGAGGAACAUAUCCUGCGCCCUUUCCGAUAAUGGAAAAAAAGAGACCAAAAUGGGCUCGCAGGAUCGGAUCGGAUAGCAGAUCGGUCGGUGGUCAGCUCAUCCAAUCCAAUUUCUCUUUAAUUCUGCAACUGCGAUCGCUUUCAGUGUCAACUUUUGCAGGGUAUAAAUCGGGCAACGGACGGAGAUCUUGCCAGCCCAAAUCAGGAAAGUUUCUCAGCGAGCUAGCAGCUAUAGCUUAGCUGGAGAUCGAUCGAGAGGUAGAAGAAGAAGAAGAAGAAGAAGAAGAAGAAGAAGAAGAAGAAGAAGAAGAAGAAGAAGAAGAAGAAGAGAGGCCUCGCAUGGCGAUGAGAGCUCGCAUCUGGUAGCCAAGGAUGACUUGCCUGUGUCUCUGCUCAUGUGCAGUAGAAGAAGAUGCAUUUCUAGCUGCUUUCUGCAUAUGUGAUCUCACAGGCAGUCUCCUUGGCUAGCCUGAGCGGCUCUCAUCCUUCAUGCCUGGCUCAUCUCUUCUUAAUGAUCUCUUAUUAGUCACAGAUCCUGUAGAGAUUAGUUGAUGUUUGAUGCUUGUCCACUUCAGUGCCACACAUAAACAUAGCGGCCGUGAUCAACUGAUCAGUCCAGCCUGACAGAGAAUUCAGAGAGCAUGACAAGAUCAGCUUCUGACAAACCGCGCGAGAUUAACCAACAAAUGCAGGCAAGAUCAAGACUACAGCGGUGCGUGCUUCCUGAACUGCCUGUGGACGAAGACGAACAGACAAAGCUAGUGAUCGAUCGAUGCUCUGACGACAGCCACUCCUGCAGGCUGCAGCUUAUGCACUGGUGCAUCUGCUAGAUAGAGCCUAGGAGAGUAGGAGGAUGCACUUACAGAGAGACAGAAUGUGUUGUUCUCUGCUUAAUUUGUUAGUUACCACACUGUUUAAUUCCUCUGUUCAAUGGGAAACUUCGUUUAGGGUGUGUUUAGUUAACGCUAAAAUUAAAAGUUUGAUUGAAAUUGGAACGAUGUGAUGGAAAAGUUGGAAGUUUAAAGAAAAAAGUUGAGGACUAAA